UCUCUCUGACCAACCGAAGCUGGUCGAAUAAAAGGUACCCACCUUGUCUCUCUAACAUCCUGGGACCAAGAGGGUUACAACAAUGCUGCAAACAAUAGUGGUAGAUGACUGUUACUACUAGAAAGAGGGGAGAUUGCCAGCUGCCUCUUCAGCUUGAGCAGCUACUGCUAUUCUGAGUACGACGCAUGGGAAGAGGGGAGGCUCACCAUGUGGUCUGCUGGAUGGCUGAUGACAGAGGCCAAUACACCUAACCUUCUGCUUGGGAGACCGAUCUUGGCAAGGCCACCCCAGUACAAGAGACCUCCAACAACGUAGCAGGGAGCUUCUCACAGGUCUUCAGCCUGCCAGGACAUCACUGCUCCUUAGCCUACUGCUCUUCUUUUGGAAAAUUGGGCCUGGGACAGGAGGACUGAAAUCUCAGCUUCAUGACACCUCAGUAGAGGGUAGUAUGUGCAUAAGGCCUCGUUCCAUUGCAGCAACAGACUCUGUGGGGAGACCAGGAAGAAGCAGGGCACAGCACAGGACACAAGUAAAUGUCAGCUUUUUGACUAGACGUAGGGUUUUUCUACACUACCCGACGUAUCGGUACAAGAACAAGAAGCGCAAGCAGAGUCGACAGGAGAGCGUCAGCUGUCAACAUGCCGCAGUAAGUAGAUCCAGCUAUCGAUACAUGGGAGGACCUUCCCUCUUAUCUGAUGACUGCUUAUCCUAUGACAUGCUACAGAAAACUUAAAUACCCA